rnacentral:tRNA from 1 species
GGGCGGCUAGCUCAGUUGGUUAGAGCGCGGCUUUCACAUAGCUGAGGUCGGGGGUUCGAGUCCCUCGCCGCCCACCA